AGUCCAGACUCCUACGGGAGGCAGCAGUGGGGAAUAUUGCACAAUGGGGGAAACCCUGAUGCAGCGACGCCGCGUGAGCGAAGAAGUAUUUCGGUAUGUAAAGCUCUAUCAGCAGGGAAGAAAAAAAUGACGGUACCUGAGUAAGAAGCACCGGCUAAAUACGUGCCAGCAGCCGCGGUAAUACGUAUGGUGCAAGCGUUAUCCGGAUUUACUGGGUGUAAAGGGAGCGUAGGCGGCGCGUUAAGUCUGAUGUGAAAACCCGAGGCUCAACCACGGGAGUGCAUUGGAACUGUGCUGCUAGAGUGUCGGAGAGGCAGGCGGAAUUCCUAGUGUAGCGGUGAAAUGCGUAGAUAUUAGGAGGAACACCAGUGGCGAAGGCGGCCUGCUGGACGAUGACUGACGUUGAGGCUCGAAAGCGUGGGGAGCAAACAGGAUUAGAUACCCGUGUA
rnacentral:rRNA from 1 species